UAGGGAAUCUUCCGCAAUGGACGCAAGUCUGACGGAGCAACGCCGCGUGAGUGAAGAAGGAUUUCGGUUCGUAAAACUCUGUUGUUAGAGAAGAACAGCGCAUAGAGUAACUGUUAUGCGUGUGACGGUAUCUAACCAGAAAGCCACGGCUAACUACGUGCCAGCAGCCGCGGUAAUACGUAGGUGGCAAGCGUUGUCCGGAUUUAUUGGGCGUAAAGCGAGCGCAGGCGGUCAAUUAAGUCUGAUGUGAAAGCCCCCGGCUCAACCGGGGAGGGUCAUUGGAAACUGGUUGACUUGAGUGCAGAUGAGGAGAGUGGAAUUCCAUGUGUAGCGGUGAAAUGCGUAGAUAUAUGGAGGAACACCAGUGGCGAAGGCGACUCUCUGGUCUGUAACUGACGCUGAGGUUCGAAAGCGUGGGUAGCAAACAGG
rnacentral:rRNA from 1 species